UAUUACUGCUUAUCCUCAUUUACCGCUAAUGAAGGUGAUGCUGACUUGAACAAUGUCAAUCAGGGAUCUACCUGCAUUUCUCCUACUGGACCCCAUUUGGAGCAUAUUUGUAAGAGACAGAAACCACACAGCAAUUUGAACAGGGAUUGUUUUAAUCUAAAGAAGUAUGAAAUGAUGAUAGGUGAGUAUCCAUGAAGAUGCGAAGGGAACUCUAAGGGUCCUCCAGGAUGGAGGGAAAGUGCCCAAGAAAGGACAAACUUGGAAGGGGGAGGCCUUCCCCGAGGCUGGGGUUUGGACUAGGUUGGAGAAGGCAUGGUGCCACCCACUGGAUGGUGAAGUCUGUGGGCUUCCUGGUAGCAGGAAACAGCUCUCCCAGGUCCA
rnacentral:lncRNA from 1 species